GAUGAACGCUGGCGGCGUGCCUAAUACAUGCCAGUCGAGCGAACAGACGAGGAGCUUGCUCCUUUGACGUUAGCGGCGGACGGGUGAGUAACACGUAGGUAACCUACCUAUAAGACUGGGAUAACUUCGGGAAACCGGAGCUAAUACCGGAUAAUAUUUCGAACCGCAUGGUUCGAUAGUGAAAGAUGGCUUUGCUGUCACUUAUAGAUGGACCUGCGCCGUAUUAGCUAGUUGGUAAGGUAACGGCUUACCAAGGCAACGAUACGUAGCCGACCUGAGAGGGUGAUCGGCCACACUGGAACUGAGACACGGUACAGACUCCUACGGGAGGCAGCAGUAGGGAAUCUUCCGCAAUGGGCGAAAGCCUGACGGAGCAACGCCGCGUGAGGGAUGAAGGUCUUCGGAUCGUAAAACUCUGUUAUUAGGGAAGAACAAACGUGUAAGUAACUGUGCACGUCUUGACGGUACCUAAUCAGAAAGCCACGGCUAACUACGUG
rnacentral:rRNA from 1 species